rnacentral:lncRNA from 1 species
UGCGCUUGACAUUGAGCAUCUAAAAGCGACUCACUGCCAACACAAAGCGUUGACUACAGAUGUUUAUGCCAUUAGACCUCAUUUAAGUGAGCGAAGACAAGAGCUUGCCACAAGGCUGAAGUUUGAGAAGAGGCUUCUUCUCUGUGAGGGCGCCCUUAGGUCCAGUCUGCUGGGCUCUCGUACUGACGAUGGUGACAAUGAAAUCUUUCAAUGUGACUGGGAGGCACAGGAGCAGACCAAUAUUUUCAAGCUGCUCGGGCUGGGUGAGUCACGGGACUGUGUUGACCAGGUCCACAUUGCCGGCGGCCACAUCAUGACUCUGUACUCGUCAUCACAGAACUUUGUUACUUGCUUCUAUCUGUUAUUCUGACAUGUAUGCUAGCUAUUUACCGCCGUCAAGGGUUGCAGUCCGAUGCUGCUGCAUGAUAACUAAUCUAAUGUUUCAUUGUUCUUUGCCCCUCUAUUUGUUUUCAAUGCAGAUGUAUUUUAGCUCUUGAGUGUCGAGGAGGCAGAGCAGUGUCUUGAAGCUGUUUCAAGCAGCAGCCGGACCCCAUGACCAAUGGAUGUCGAGCGCUGGACCAGAUCACCUAGCAGCAAAUCAGAAA